rnacentral:rRNA from 1 species
CCUACGGGAGGCUGCAGUGAGGAAUAUUGGUCAAUGGCCGUAAGGCUGAACCAGCCAAGUCGCGUGAAGGAAGAAGGAUUUAUGGUUUGUAAACUCCUUUUAUAGGGGAAUAAAGGUAUCCACGUGUGGCUAUUUGCAUGUACCCUAUGAAUACGCAUCGGCUAACCCCGUGCCAGCAGCCGCGGUACUACGGAGGAUGCGAGCGUUAUCCGGAUUUAUUGGGGUUAAAGGGUACGUAGGUUGUUUUUUAAGUCAGCGGUGAAAGUUUGUGGCUCAACCAUAAAAUUGCCGUUGAAACUGGAAGACUUGAGUGUGUUUGAGGGAGGCAGAAGGCGUGGUGUAGCGGUGAAAUGCAUAGAUAUCACGCAGAACACCGAUUGCGAAGGCAGCUUACUAAGCCAUAACUGACGCUGAAGCGCGAAAGCGUGGGGAGCAAACAGGAUUAGAUACCCGUGUAGUC